UGCUCCUAAUUCGUUUAGACGAGAUAAUCACUCAAUUAUCGCUCUAAUUAAUCGGGAAAAUUUGUUUUUCGUUUCAAAUCCGAUAGUUUGCGCGCCACACGCAGGGGCAGUUUCGAAAGUGCACUUUUGGCAGUGCGGUAAUCGCGGGUGCAAUUACGCCGAGUGCAGAUAGCGGUGCCGGAGGAUCCGGUUCGGGUCGGGAAGGAUCGGCUCGAAGAACUGGGAGCGGAACGUGAUCCAUCCUGAUUUUCGACGAUGGACGCGUAAUGCCGCAGUCUGGCCGUAAGCUCGUUACGCCUGUCGGAAGUAUAAAUCAACCGCAAAGUUAUUCCGCUGUGUUGUCGAGAACUCCCUGCAGGGCGCCUCACUGGAAACUGCUACCACCUUCUUGCCCAGGAUAACGUUCGCCCGAGGACUCUACUCCUUGCGACUCUCGACUGCCUCCGCCGGCUUCCUUCGCCACGAAUCGAGGAUCUCUCGCGUCAUCUCCGCGGAUAAAACGAACACCUCGAAGCAGAAUCACUCCGUCAUGGUGUGGUACGACUUCGCCGAGAUGCACCCUCUGAACUCGGUACGUUCGGGGGUACAAGAACGAGCGAGAAGAAGCGGAGGAGGACGCGCGGCGGUCGGUCGCGGAAGAAACGCAGGAGGAGGAAGAGAUCGCGGCGAAGGAGCGGGGCGGCGACGGAACCCUGUCGUAAAUCACCAGCGGUAC